rnacentral:misc_RNA from 1 species
GGCAUCGCUCGCACGUUUCCGCUGUUUCUUCUGAUAGAUCCCUAAAAUUUCUGGAAUAAAAAGGAUAAAUAUUCCCAAGAGCAAAUCCACAUAUCGCCCUCAUUCAAACGUCACCGGAUAUUGGUAACUAUGGCAACUACCGUCGUGAUAUACGGAUAGACGAGAUAGAGGGUGCUAUAAUUCCAGCCAGAAAUGUUCAGCAACCACCCCUGUGGUUAAACAUUAGUGAACUAACUUCAUCGACUUACAAUUUAAAGUCAAGUAGAGGGAAUCAUCGAUGCAGGAUAGUUAAAAUGCCGAGUACCACCAUCCACUGGCCACGGAUGAAUCAUUAUGCACGUUGACCAGGACUGGCACAAUGUGGUCAAAAUUACGUGCGUUGGGUUUUUAGCCGUAAUUGGAGCUUUUUUAAACAUUGUUGUACUAGUUAUGUUCUACAAGAAGCCUUCACUCAGAUCUCCGUCAAACAGAUUCGUCGGUAGUUUAAUUGCUUCCGAUUUGCUGUCAUCGACCGUCCUUGGUCCUUUACUGGUAUCCGGUAUAAAGACCAUCAAUAAAGCUCUUACGGUGUUCGUCGCAACAUCUACAAUAUUUUCAAUACUAGUUAUUGCGAUGGACAGAUACACAGCAGUUCUUAGUCCUCUUCAUUACGCGACAAAUGUUACUAGGCAAAAAAGUGUUCUAGUCAUAGGUACGGUUUGGAGCAUAUCAGCUGCGUUGACAUCACCAAUAUUAUUUAAGGACUUGUUAGCAUAUGAACAGUUUUCUGUGGCGAUGCUGGAAAAAACACACGGUCUGGUGCUGCUAGUGAUUGCAUUUUUAGUUCCUUGUGCUGCCCUUAUUUUGGUGUACUUCAAAAUGUACGUGGCGGCUCACAAGAACAGUCUGCGGACGCGCAAGCACAGCGUGUGCAUGGAGCCAGAGAUGUCGCGGCGCAACUCGAACGCCAUCUUCUCGGCGCUGCUGUUCCGGGAGGAGAGCCGGGCCAUGAAAACGUCCAUGAUGGUGCUGUCCACGUUCCUGUUCAGCUGGACGCCGCUGUUCGUGCACGUGUCCAUUGUCCGGUUGCCGGAAGAGGUGGUGUACACGUGCGCCCUGUCCGCGGCCACGCUCAACCCGCUUGUGUACGUGUUCCGGAACGACGCGUUCCGCAAGGAGAUGCUGCGCGUGGUCUGUAGCCGUAAACGGUUGCGUGAAUCGGCCGCGGCCAAGGCGUCCACCGGUUACCAGCAACACCGGCUGAUGACGGCCCACCAGUCCGACAGCGUGUCGGUGCACAGUUUCCGAAUGUCGUCCGUCGAGUGCCAACACUCGUUCGACUCGGUCACGCCGCCGCCCGCCGACUUUGUCGCCACGUACAAUCCGAUAAAUGGAUCAGAGCGAUGUACACGUUACGAGAGUGUUACAUUCCGGUUGGCCCAGCGCCGUUGCCAAUACUGCAGCAGACAGAGUUCGGACUCGUCGUUGAGUAGUAAUUAUCCAUUGCUGGUUAACAAAAACCGUUCAUUGAGCGAGCCAAACACACCGAAACAUCAUAACAACAACGAAAACCGAAUUGUCAUGUUUAAGGUAGCGGAAGUGGAAACCAAAAGGAACAAACUACAAAGGAUGAUGGCGAUAGACACUGAUUGUCCAUCGACUCGAGUUUAAUAAUAAUAUGCCAAUGAAACACGAGUCAGAACUCAGCUGAUCUUCUACUAUGCCGCAGCCAAUACACAGUCACCCGCCAACGUCGACAACGUUUGUCGAAGGAUAUAGUCUAUAGAGUCGAUAAAAUGGAUAUUUCACUGGUUAUAUCAAUAUGGAUGAAGAUUUUGCUGUGUGAGAAGUCCUUUAUG